UACGUAGGGGGCAAGCGUUGUCCGGAUUUAUUGGGCGUAAAGAGCGUGUAGGCGGCUAGGUAGGUCCGUUGUGAAAACUCGAGGCUCAACCUCGAGACGCCGGUGGAAACCAUCUAGCUAGAGUCCGGAAGAGGAGAGUGGAAUUCCUGGUGUAGCGGUGAAAUGCGUAGAUAUCGGGAGGAACAUCAGUGGCGAAGGCGGCUACCUGGCCCAAUACUGACACUCAGGUGCGACAGCGUGGGGAGCAAACAGG
rnacentral:rRNA from 1 species